CAAAAUCUUGGCCUCGAAAAUCAACUUGGGUCUGAUUUACUGAACUGUAUCCGCAUUUCUUUGCAUUUAUCUUCGUUGAGGGUAAAUUUUAAAGCAUUGGACUGAUCGUAAAUUUCAUUAACUGUGGAUUGGAUGUUACUACUUGUAUCUUUAGGCAGUAUUUCAGCUAGAGUAGUGUCGUCAACGUAUUUCCAGAGAUCAG